rnacentral:rRNA from 1 species
AAUGAACGUUGGCGGCGUGGAUUAGGCAUGCAAGUCGUGCGGAAAGGCCCCGCAAGGGGUACUCGAGCGGCGAAAGGGAUAGUAACACGUAGGCUACCUACCUCCGGGACGGGGAUAGCUGGGGGAAACUCCAAUUAAUACCCGAUAACGUCUGCGGACCAAAGGUGUGAUUCCGCCUGGAGACGGGCCUGCGUCCUAUCAGCUAGUUGGUGAGGUAACGGCUCACCAAGGCAACGACGGGUAGCGGGUGUGAGAGCACGACCCGCAUCACUGGGACUGAGAUACUGCCCAGACACCUACGGGUGGCUG